rnacentral:lncRNA from 1 species
UUCUUCAUGUAGUCUGGCAUGAAGUUUUAGAUCUGUUUCAUCUGAAGAAUCAUGUAAUAGCAUAAGCACAAUAAACUUGGCGCGCAUGAGCUAAUCCCACAACCAGGAAAAUGAGACCAAAAUACAUUGGACUUCUCAAAAGAACUUCCAGAUAGCAUCAACGCAAAUCUGGCUCAUGCUUUUCGGUCAUUGUGAAAUCACUCACUGUCAAAGGAUUUUGAUCCAAAGCAAGAAGAUCGAUGCGAUCACAACUCAUAAGGAGCUAAAGACACCCCCAACUAGCGAAAUAAACACGGUGAAAACUUACAUCAGACUUGCCCACAAGAAAGCAUUCAGCAUUCAUAAUCAGCGAAAAAUAUGACGGUGAAUUGUGACAAUACCACCAAACGAUUGGUGGAGUCGAAAGACAAAAUGUUACCACCAAACUCUAACACUGCAUCCUUAUGGUGAUAUAUGGGGACAUUUCCCGGAAAUCAUUAUUGCAGGUAUUACAUCACCCCGCCCGCCAGUAGCUUGUCAAUUGUAUUACCCGCUACGAUUGGCAAUCAAGGGUGUGCUCACACAGCAAUGCUCGCAUCGGCCUAGUUAAGACUGAAUUAUUCCGUCCGAUACAAUAGUACCAAAUCGAGUUUGCCCAUUACUUGUAUAUCAGAGCAUCCCUCCCAGGUCCGACACCAAUGUAGUGGACUGGAACACCAACGAGCUCUUCUAUCCUCUCCACGUAACGGCGGGCAGCUU